rnacentral:lncRNA from 1 species
UUUUAUACACAGCCACUACUCCGAACAGAGAUUCUUCAACCGAGAUUGAGUCUCCAGCGGAAACUAUUUCUGAUGCUCCACCUUUUUCCUCGGUAAUCUAUCAUUUCUUUAUUCGUCUUGAUCGUAAUCUUUUUCUCUGCUCAUCACUUUUGUUUAUUUCUAUUUUUAGUCAAUCCCUGCUUCUCCAUCGGUCCCAGUCUCCGACAAAAAACCGAUUGAAGUUGUUCAAGUCACUCCUCCGCCGUCCUCAAAACGGCGCAAGUCAGUGGCCAAAAGAAAAUUUCAACAAACCGAAUGCACACCUUCGGCUGAAGUCACCAAAGACAGAGCCGAAGA